UCUUUCUCAGUGCAUCACUUUGUUCCCUCUACUGCAAACUUAAAGCCAAGUGCAACACAGUGCUGCAGCACUUGGUCUGGAGCAUGUGAUGAAGUAAACCCUGUGAACCCACUUACAGCUUGCUGAGUUUUAUGUUGUCCUCCAGCGUUUUGUUUCCACAUUUUACUUCUUCAUUUUUGGAGUGGAAAACAGCUCUGAAAGCACUUUUCAAGAAAGCAACGUCAAUGAAAAGCCCAACUGUUUCCAAACAGCUUCCAUUGAAAGCAAAAGAAACUAGUGGCAGCAAAACCUGGG
ensembl:lncRNA